UUUUCCUUGAGUUCAACUUGAGUUGCCAGAAUCUGAAUCUAACUGAUUUCUUGUACUACUUGGAGCCACAUAUAGAAAGGUAAGACUGGUCAUUUUGAAAGUAACACCAAGGAGAUGUUUGAUAACCAGCUGUGACUGUUACCUGCUACACAGAUGACAGGAUAAGUACUCUCUGAACAUCCCUUGGGGUCACAGUCUAGACUUGGCCUCAAGAGACAAGUGUUUACUGCCCCAUGGAAAAAUGGCUCGGGAUGUAUGGGCACUGGGACCAAAUUCCACCCUGUGGCAGCAGCCAGCUGCUGUGGCUUGAAUGUGUUUUGUCCCCACCAGAGCACAUACUGAGGUAUGGUCCCCAGUGUGGCAGUGGAGAGAGGAGUGGGGACUGUAGAGAGAUGAGAGGCUACACUGGCUGCUGCAUGGGAAGGCUGUUACCCAGGUAGCCAGCACCGUCUGUGCGUCUCUGCUGACCGCCCUCACCCAUGCUCCCACCCUGUGUCGCCAACCACCAUGGUGUCCUUCCUCACCAGAAGCUGAGCAGGUGCUAGGGCCUUGCUCUUGAACUUUUCACCUCCAAAACUGCACACCAAAUGAACCACAUUCCUUUAUUAAUUAUAGCCUCAGUAUUUUGUUACAGUGACAGAAUAUGGACUGAGACACUGACCAUGUUCUGCAUAGCUCAGAAGAGCCUCUCUUAAUGCUGCAGCAGGCAUCUGUCAAAUAACCCCAGUCUACCUGGGAACUUGGGAGCUAGUGUUGCUUUCACUGGGUUUCCCUGGUGACCCUCCCAUGGCUGCCCUGGUGCUGGGAGACACCUCUUCUGUGCCUAUGGGAUCAGGGUGGGGAGCGUCCUCGGGUUUCUUGGUGUCUGUAAGAGCAUGGAUCCCUAAACUUCCAUGUCAGAUCUAAGCACGUGUGCUACCAACGGAACGCCAAACUCCCCGAUGCCCUAGAAACUACAGUCUUAGUUUUCAGAAAUAUUUGUUUUCUCUUCUGUCAUUUAUUUAGUUUGUAAGAGAUGGGGUCUUACAAUGUUGCCAAGGAUAACUGCAAACUCCUGGGCUCAAGCAAUUCUCCCAUCUCAGCCUCCCAAGUAACAGACUACAUGCCUGACAAGAAAUGACAUUCUUAGAGAAUUGUCCCAAAGGUCUGUCUGCCAUUCACUUGUUUUGCUGAACCUUGGGUACUUAGCCAAGAAAAGCCUGUGCUGCACACUGGAGGAUGGGUACAUGUGUCUGCAAUGCUCAUGAAUCCACACACUGACAUCGCCUCCUCUGAGUGUGCCAAGCCAAGGGGGUGCCAGCCCAUUCUCUGAGGUGGCCACAUCCAUCCAGGACCAGGGCUCAGUCUCACACUCUCUCCACCUCCCUCACCCCACUUUACUACCCUGCCUCAGUUUCUCACUGACAGCUCUUUUCCUUUUACCCCAGCUCCGCUGCUUGUCAGCUCUGUGGCCUUGAGAUAAUUGACUUUAACCUCUCCAACCUCAGCCUCCUUAGCUGCAAAAUGGGGACAAUGAUGGCCCUGGGCUCACAGAGCUCCAUCUGAAUUAAGGGGACUCCAGGUGAGACCUGGCUUUGCACUUGGCACAGGAAGGGGUCCACAGAAAUGAUUACUGUUGUUCUUAACUAUCCUGUUUGCACAAGAUGCUUCAAGUCUUUCUGUCGUGAGUUACAGACUAAAUAAAUCACUUACACACUUUUUUGGUUAAUUAAAAGAAAAGUCUUUCUUUGGAGUAACAGCAGGUUUCUCCUCGGCGGCUGCUUUUUCCUCCAUUCAGUGCUGUCUGAAUAAAUUAAUUUGCCUGCAGUUUUAUAGAGCAGCAAAAGUAAGGGAGACAUUGUGACAAGCCUUCAUGAAGUUCUAAACACUAAAAUGUUACAUGGAAAUUUAAAAAAAAAAUCUAUGGAAAUCAUUGAACUGAGGCCUUGAUUGCUUUUUGGCUGAGGGGAGGCAAAUUCAAUGCAAGCCGUUGCAGUGGAGCUCGUUCUCUGUCUCCUAGCCUGCUAACCCUGGUGGCCGAACCAGGCAUCAGAGAACAUGUGAGGACCCCUGGCCGAGGUCCAGGAAUCUCAACUCUCAAGUAGUUUGGAUCUUUUCCUGCCCUGUUUGAGGUUUGCUUGACUCGCCAGAGCAAGCUGGUUUUGUGUUGAGGCAGCAUGGUGUGGAUGGAUGUGCUUGAGCACUGCUUAUGUUGAAGUUCCUGAGUUGACCCACAUUCACGAUGUCACUGCCCAUUCAUUCCACCUUGGCAUGGACUAGUUCUGGCCAGUGUUUAUGGUGGCCUGCACUGGCAGAGGUAUGACUGAGACUGAGCUCUAAGUGUCUCCCUUCUAUCUCACCUGCGGUAUUCUUUGCACAUCUUGGUUUGUUAGGAGCUGCAUUAAUUGAGUUUGUAGGCUAAAUCGAGUGCCCUGGAAGUCAUCCAGCUCUUCAUAUUGAUUUGCUGUAUGAGCUCUGGACUAAUAGUCUGAAGUGAGGCUGUCAUUUAGUUCUGCAGGGAAAGGGAAGCUUUUAGGCCCUGGCUUCCCUUCUCAGCUCCUCUGCUUUUACUCUGCUCCUCUCUUCUUAGAAAGCAAAACCAUUUCCCUUUAAUUGGGCUGCGGAGAAACAGGCCAGCCUCAGGCUUCGAAGCCACUCAGCCUCACAGCCCCACUGUUUCCUGUCUGAUUUCUGUAGGGUGGGAAGUGGAUGUGUGCUCUGGAUGAAGUGGAUCUGUGCACAUGGAAGCCCAGGCAUCUGCAGGGACAGAGGAGCUUGGCCUUCAUUUUGUGAGGAAGAGGCUGCGGAGCAAGCAAGCCUCAUGCAUGCCCUGAGCAAGCCCUCUGCAGUGGCUGCUUCAUUUUGCCUUCCAUUCAAUCAGCUGUCCUUUAUUUAUGUUUAAGAAGUGCAUACUGUUAAAUGAGAUAAAUCAGGCCCACAAGCUUAAAUAUAGCGUAACUUUUCUUAUAUGAGAAGCCCAAAGUAUAAAAAAAUUUAAAAAACAAAAUAAAAGAUAGGCAAUAGGAAACAGGGAGAUAGAUCGUUUGCAAAUGGGAAAGGGAUCCAGAGAGGGGAGAGGAAGAGGAAUAAAAAGAAGUAAGUGCACACCAGGCACACAUACCUACCAUCUAAGUUUCAUGUGUAACAUACUACAAACAUGUACUAAGAACAAAUUUAUAAAACAUGCUCCAUAGAAAUAUAACUUACUAGAACAGAACAUACACACCAUGUUUAAGAUAUGUUUAAAAUAAUUACAUAAGUAAUAAAUAUGUGUUUCGAUGAAUUCCCUUUCAUAAUUGGCUUUUCAAAUCAACGUGCUCAUAUUUUUCAUCAGAGUUUUAGAGACAUAAUGAAAAACUACAUACUGUUCUUUCAGUUUCUUGGCCAUCCUUAUAAUUGUAGGUUUAUAGUUUCUAAAAAUCAAGCAUGAAAAGUUAACUACUCCAUUCCUGGUUUUAUUUCCCCCAAACACAAAUGAGGUGAACAGGUCCCAUGCCCAGGUGUCAAGAACUCUGAAGUCCACACCAAUGGACAUGAACGAGCAGGGAGAAGGCAGAGAGAAGGCACAUGCAGAACGAAUGGCAAAAUCAGAGCAGCCGCCACUUGGCAAACACUGCAGUGGAGACCGAGUCAGGUGGAAGGUGGCACUUCCCAGUGGGGCAUGCUGCAGACAAAGCCCUAACAUGGAGCCUUGGGGACAUCCAGGUCUACACUGCACUGGAGGAGUAUCCAGAUCUGGAGGGCACCAUCAUCCAGCUGACACUAUCAUCCGAGGACCCACAAAGAAAUUUCAAAGGUAGAGCAGGCGAUCGUAUUCAAGAUUUUGAAAAUUCUGGGAAAACAGGAAGCUGGAAUUUAGUGUGUGAUUUAUUACUGGACCCAGCACAAGACUUCUGAGUACAGAAGAAUAGAAAGCACCUUCCGGUCAUGACUACAUGAUUCCAGCUGGAGUUUAUUGAAUAAUAAGGGGCCACACAGACCAGCAGCACCCCGCUUUGUGGCUGAGAAGGUGGAUUCCCUAAGGGGCUGACUGCUGGGACCUCAAAGUUAAAAAUUUUAAGAGGAAGGAAAUAUCGAUGAUGAUCCCGGCAGUGGCCCUUACAAGUUGCAAGAACACUGGCAUCCUGUGAUCUGUAUCCUCAAAUUCUAUCUGUCACCAUCUUGUUUUGGGGACAGAGCGGAAGUCUCUCAGCCUCAUGGAGCAGGAAGCUGGGCCCAGCAGUUGCUUCCACUCAGGAAGACCAGGCCUUCCUUGAGGCAGAGCAUAGGCGACUGUCUUGGAGUCUGAGAAGAGACCGAGCUCUUCCAGUGCAGGAAUUCCCUCACCAGCAUCUUGGACAAAUGGCUGCCCACCUCUGAGUGAGCUUGUACUAGAGGAGAAAGCUGAGGUUGCUACAGCCCUCUGGGGGUCAUGGAGCUCCCACUAGGCCAGAUCCUUCCACAUCCUACUUCCAAAUCUUGCUCUUAGGCUCUGACCACUGCUCUUAGAAGCUACAUGUGAAGGGGACUUGGUGUAUGGCGUCAUGUCACCAACUCCCUCCUUGGCGUGAAGGCUUGUGUGCUGCAUCUGGGAUCCAGGCAUGGAUAUACCCCAGUCCUUGACCCUUCACUCUCCAGCCAAGGCUGCUGGUCAGUUCUUUAUUCAAUCAGGAGCAAAUCUCCCCACUCUUGCCUCUCCCAGUGUGCAUCACACCCCCCAUGCCAUCCAUGAGACAGGCCCUGUGUGUCACCCCACAGCCAGGUGCAACAUCCACCUACCUGUAGA